UACAGAGGUCUCAAGCGUUGUUCGGAUUCAUUGGGCGCAAAGGGUGCGUAGGCGGCGCGGUAAGUCGGGUGUGAAAUCUCGGAGCUUAACUCCGAAACUGCAUUUGAUACUGCCGUGCUUGAGGACUGGAGAGGAGACUGGAAUUUACGGUGUAGCGGUGAAAUGCGUAGAUAUCGUAAGGAAGACCAGUGGCGAAGGCGGGUCUCUGGACAGUUCCUGACGCUGAGGCACGAAGGUCAGGGGAGCAAACGGG
rnacentral:rRNA from 1 species